AGUUCGAAUUAUAAUUUCGAACCGCUCAUGGCUCAUGCUCAUGCAUCGAUCCAUUCGUAUUUCAUGCCUGUUUAUACUUAAUUUAGUUAGUUACAAGGUAGUUAUAAUUAGUAAUUACCUUGGUUCGUUAAUAGUUACAGUUAGUUAAUCAGGUUCUCAACAACUAUAUACACUAUACACUUCUAUAAUUCAAUCAUUCCAAAGUCCAAACCAAACACUAAAUUACAAAACAGUCAACAACAUAAUAAAAUAAAACUCAACAAAACAACUGUAAAAAUCAGGAAUUAAGAAAUAAGAUGUGGUAACCUUAGUUACAAUAUUAUCUUAAUCUAAAAUUUAAAUAUUGAUCCAUUAGCAAUUAUAAGAAAUGUGAAAAAACUUUGUAAACAAGAAUUGCAACGACAACAUAAAAGUUCAUGGCAUGAUGACUAUAAAUCAAAUGCAUGGAUAUUUGUGGAUUACCUUAUGACGGCGAUAUUAUGUCUAUAUUUUUUCAAUAUGAUACGGGAUAAACACACUGGCAAACAGAUGGGAUACAGUUAUAUAUUAAUGCUACAAAGAUAAGAGAAGCACAAUAUAAGCAGUGGAUAACUUCAAUGGUAUACGUGUACUAGGUUGAAUAUUGUGUGUUGAUCACAUACAUCAUAGGUUCUGAGUUUCUUACUGUGGUUUGUAUUGUACAUGAUCAAUACUUAAUAUUCAACUUAUAGUACGCUUUACGAUAACUGGCAGCUGAUCGUAGUGCCAUCAAGUGGCAUUUUUUCAGUAGGGUUAUAGUACUUGUUUACCAUUAUACCAAUAGUUAAUCAAAAAAAUAUAACAUAUUAAUACCUUUAAAAAGAGCAAAAAUUAUAAAAUAUUUUGUUAGAUAACGAUAAGUAAUCAAGAAUCUAAGUAAAUAGGUUUUACCUACCUAUUUAAAAACACUUAUAUAAUACUUCUUUUCGUUACUGAAACAUUAAUGAUAUCACUAUAAUGACCAUUGACCAAACUAUAAUAUAUAAAUAAUAUAUACUAAUAUUUUAUAUCACAUAAUUAAAUUCGGAUAUCAUAGAUUUUUGAAAUUCCUUAAAAAAAAAAGUUUAGACAGUUAUUUUUUUUUAAUUCGUUUAA